rnacentral:rRNA from 1 species
CGAGGGGAGCUAGCGUUGUUCGGAAUUACUGGGCGUAAAGGGCGCGUAGGCGGCGUCGAUAGUCGGGCGUGAAAUGCCUGGGCUCAACCCAGGAAUUGCGCUCGAUACUCCGAUGCUUGAGUGUGGGAGAGGAUAGUGGAAUUCCCAGUGUAGAGGUGAAAUUCGUAGAUAUUGGGAAGAACACCAGCGGCGAAGGCGGCUAUCUGGACCACAACUGACGCUGAGGCGCGAAAGCGUGGGGAGCAAACAGGAUUAGAUACCCUGGUAGUCCACGCCGUAAACUAUGUGUGCUUGACGUCGGUGAGCAUAGCUCGCCGGUGUCGCAGCUAACGCGGUAAGCACACCGCCUGGGGAGUACGGUCGCAAGAUUA